rnacentral:lncRNA from 1 species
UAUUUCAAAUUUCAAACUCCUUCAACGGUUAUUUGCAUAAUUCUUCUGUCUACUUUGGGCGGUUUAAAGAUUUUUUUUAAUUAAGACAAUAUUGCAGGUAGUUUCUUCAAUUAAUUUGGGUCUAAUUAAUUUUCUGUCCCCAAUUUCUUCCCAACACACAUCAGAUCUACAAGGUCUGCUAUAAAGUGCUUCAUAUAGAGUUGCAUUAAUACUGAACUGAU